GAGACUCUGUGCGCGUGCAUAUCAAUAAGCGGAGGAAAAGAAACUAACAAGGAUUCCCCUAGUAACGGCGAGUGAAGCGGGAAGAGCUCAAAUUUGAAAUCUUAAAGGGUUUCCCUUUACGAAUUGUAGUUUAAAGAAGUGUUUUCUGUUGGAGUUUCGGUAAAAGUUCUUUGGAAUAGGACAUCAUAGAGGGUGAGAAUCCCGUAUUUGACCGUUACUUUCCAGCUGUGUGAUACACUUUCAAAGAGUCGGAUUGUUUGGGAAUGCAGUCCAAAAUGGGUGGUAAAUUUCAUCUAAAGCUAAAUAUUGGCGAGAGACCGAUAGCGAACAAGUACCGUGAGGGAAAGAUGAAAAGAACUUUGAAAAGAGAGUUAAACAGUACGUGAAAUUGUCAAAAGGGAAGCGUUUGACACCAGUGUUGUUUAGUUGAAAAUCAAUUAAAUAUUUUUCGAUUUUAAGUAGUAUUGACCUUAUCAGCUUGCUGCUUUUUUCUCGGAAAUUAUUUAAUGCACUUUUCAGUUAACAAGUCAACAUCAAUUUCUUUUGUUGUAAAAAGGUAAGAGGAAGGUGGCUUGCGCUUCGGCUCAAGUGUUUAUAGCCUUUUACCCCUGCAAUCGGAGAGAUUGAGGUCUGCAGCGUAGAUCCUUCGGGGUUAGAUACAUUUGUGCUAAGCUAUAGCCUUGUAUAGACAACUUGUUGACUAUGCUCAGUCAUGUAGCUUACUCGCUUAUGCUAUUUUACCUACGCUUAGGAUGUUGAACUCUAUCACACACAG
rnacentral:rRNA from 1 species